UUGACCAUUUCUUAUUUAAAAUUUUUUUGCGAUUAAUAUUUUUAUUGUUACUAGAUGAUAAAAUAUGAAUAUUACUUUAUACGUGACUAAUUUUUUAAAGUUUUUUACAAAUUUUUUAAAUAAGAUGAAUGGUCGA
rnacentral:pre_miRNA from 1 species